AUAGGCUAAGUGUAGCGAACCUGGAGAACUGAAACAUCUAAGUACCCAGAGGAAAAGAAAUCAACCGAGAUUCCCAAAGUAGUGGCGAGCGAACGGGGAGUAGCCCAAACCGUCGAUUCAUCGGCGGGGUUGUAGGACCUGCAUUUAGCAUAUGGAGACUAGUCUAACAGGCAUGGAAAGGCCGACCAUAGCGGGUAAUAGUCCCUUUGACGAAAGUUGAUAUAUGUGAGCGGGUAUCCUGAGUAAGGCGGGGCACGUGAAACCCUGUCUGAAUCUGGGAGGACCACCUUCCAAGGCUAAAUACUCGAUGGUGACCGAUAGUGAACGAGUACCGUGAGGGAAAGGUGAAAAGUACCCAGAGAUGGGAGUGAAAUAGUACCUGAAACCGUAAGCCUACAAACUAUCGAAGGAGUGCAUGACACUCUGACGGUGUACCUUUUGUUUAAUGAGCCAGCGAGUUAGUCGUCAGUAGCGAGGUUAAGGGCCUCAGGUCCGGAGCCGUAGGGAAACCGAAUCUUAAUAGGGUGUUGAGUUACUGGCGCUAGACGCGAAG
rnacentral:rRNA from 1 species